UACGUAGGGUGCAAGCGUUGUCCGGAAUUAUUGGGCGUAAAGAGCUCGUAGGCGGUCUGUCGCGUCUGCUGUGAAAACUCAGGGCUUAACCCUGAGCUUGCAGUGGGUACGGGCAGACUAGAGUGCGGUAGGGGAAACUGGAAUUCCUGGUGUAGCGGUGAAAUGCGCAGAUAUCAGGAGGAACACCGAUGGCGAAGGCAGGUCUCUGGGCCAGUACUGACACUGAGAAGCGAAAGCAUGGGGAGCGAACAGG
rnacentral:rRNA from 1 species